GUCCAGACUCCUACGGGAGGCAGCAGUGGGGAAUAUUGCACAAUGGGGGAAACCCUGAUGCAGCGACGCCGCGUGAGUGAAGAAGUAUUUCGGUAUGUAAAGCUCUCUCAGCAGGGAAGAUAAUGACGGUACCUGAGUAAGAAGCCCCGGCUAACUACGUGCCAGCAGCCGCGGUAAUACGUAGGGGGCAAGCGUUAUCCGGAUUUACUGGGUGUAAAGGGAGCGUAGACGGCAUGGCAAGUCUGAAGUGAAAGCCCGGGGCUCAACCGCGGGACUGCUUUGGAAACUGUUAAGCUGGAGUGCAGGAGAGGUAAGUGGAAUUCCUAGUGUAGCGGUGAAAUGCGUAGAUAUUAGGAGGAACACCAGUGGCGAAGGCGGCUUACUGGACUGUAACUGACGUUGAGGCUCGAAAGCGUGGGGAGCAAACAGGAUUAGAUACCCGUGUA
rnacentral:rRNA from 1 species